AGAGUUUGAUCAUGGCUCAGAGCGAACGCUGGCGGCAGGCCUAACACAUGCAAGUCGAACGGAUCCUUCGGGAUCAGUGGCGGACGGGUGAGUAACACGUGGGAACGUGCCCUUUGGUUCGGAACAACUCAGGGAAACUUGAGCUAAUACCGGAUAAGCCCUACGGGGGAAAGAUUUAUCGCCAUUGGAGCGGCCCGCGUCUGAUUAGCUAGUUGGUGAGGUAAAGGCUCACCAAGGCUACGAUCAGUAGCUGGUCUGAGAGGAUGAUCAGCCACACUGGGACUGAGACACGGCCCAGACUCCUACGGGAGGCAGCAGUGGGGAAUCUUGCGCAAUGGGCGAAAGCCUGACGCAGCCAUGCCGCGUGAAUGAUGAAGGUCUUAGGAUUGUAAAAUUCUUUCAGCAGGGACGAUAAUGACGGUACCUGCAGAAGAAGCCCCGGCUAACUUCGUGCCAGCAGCCGCGGUAAUACGAAGGGGGCUAGCGUUGCUCGGAAUUACUGGGCGUAAAGGGCGCGUAGGCGGGUCGUUUAGUUAGAGGUGAAAGCCCAGGGCUCAACCCUGGAAUUGCCUUUAAUGCUGGCGGCCUUGAGUAUGGCAGAGGUGUGUGGAACUCCGAGUGUAGAGGUGAAAUUCGUAGAUAUUCGGAAGAACACCAGUGGCGAAGGCGACACACUGGGCCAUUACUGACGCUGAGGCGCGAAAGCGUGGGGAGCAAACAGGAUUAGAUACCCUGGUAGUCCACGCUGUAAACGAUGAGUGCUAGUUGUCGGCAUGCAUGCAUGUCGGUGACGCAGCUAACGCAUUAAGCACUCCGCCUGGGGAGUACGGUCGCAAGAUUAAAACUCAAAGGAAUUGACGG
rnacentral:rRNA from 1 species